UGGACCUCAGAUCAGGCAAGAUUACCCGCUGAGUUUAAGCAUAUCACUAAGCGGAGGAAAAGAAACUAACUAGGAUUUCCC
rnacentral:rRNA from 1 species